rnacentral:lncRNA from 1 species
AAAUAACGCUCUUAGCAACAUCAUUAUACUAUACCGCAAUAAUAAGCGGGGGUACCGACUGUCCCUAGUGCAAGUGGCCGGUUUGGUGGUUGGUAUUCGAGACCCAAGUUCGAAUCCUAGUUGAUUCACAUUUCCAGCUAAGUUUAUUUCUAAAUGAAAUAAACGAAGCGAGUAGCAUGCUACCUUUCUCUAAAAAAAAAAAUUAAAAUAAUAAGCGGGGGUAUUUUAGUCAAUCUAACAUCACCUUUUUAAGGUUAGGCUAAAUAAGAGUCAUUGUCUAGUACAGUAAUUCUUACUUAUUCUCGGAGUUUUUUUUUUUUUUUUUUUAAGAGAAAGAUAGCAUGCUACUUGCUUCUGUUUAUUUCAUUUAGAAAUAAAUUUAGCUGAAAAUGUGAAUCAACUAGAAUUCGAACUUGGGUCUCGGAUACCAACCACCAAGCUUUUUGCCACUUGCUCUAGGACGAUCAGUUAUUCUCGGAGUUUCUAAAUGACAGAUUCUAAUACUACGCUUGUAUAUUUACGAAAUUUGAUCCUCUGAAUAGGGUUAUGAUUGGAGAUGCAAAUGAAUCCGAAUUGAUAGAGCACCCGCCCUAAAUGAGGCCGUAAGUGCAGGCCAAAUUUUUUUUAAUAAAAACAAAUCAUUCCGAACCGCUAAAAAAAAAAAAGAGAGAAAACUUUAGUUCUUUUGUUCCGUCCACCGCAAAUGAAACACUAUGUGGGGGACAAAAAAUAAAAUAGAACUAUUAAUAAAAAAAAGGGGGGUUAGCGGAUCCCUCUUCCCCUCGGAUCCGGCCCGUUUACGACGACAAUCGGAAAUAUUCGAAAUUAGGUUGUUAAUUAACCUUUUACACGAGUUUCAAUUGAGUCCCUCAUCUUCUAAUUAUUGCGAUUAGGUUGCUAGCUUUUUUCCCNUUUUAAAGAAAAGUGGGCGUCGAAUAAUUACCCUGAGCCAGGAGGGCGGGGACCGCGCUAUCACUACGACACGUGGCGCAAUCAGGACGGUACGAUAAGCGCGUGGGGACCACGUCGUGCCCCGGGCCCAGUAAUCGGAGAGAAACGCAGUACAGGGGACCACGCCACUUUCGCGGAUGAGUCCCCCAAAAAACUACGUGGUCCCCGUUUUCUCUUUAACGCCGUUACCCUAUCAUUUUACACAAAUUUCAAUCGAGCCCCUUAUCUUUAAAUAUUCGAAAUUAGGUUGUUAAUUAACCUUUUACACGAGUUUCAAUUGAGUCCCUCAUCUUCUAAUUAUUGCGAUUAGGUUGCUAGCUUUUUUCCCUAGUUUCAACUGAGUCCAUUUCGUCUUUAAUCUCUGCUGAAUUAGAUAAAUUUUUGUCACAUUAGUAAUAAUAUAGCACAGAGAAAUUUUGAAACUUUUUCUCAUUAAGCGGGUAAUAAAUCUCGAAAAUACGUAAUUAUUUGCACAUAAAUUUUACAAAUUUUAAAUUUUAACUAUGGUAUAUAAAAUGUGCAUAUCUAAAAAGGCUUUUUUUUUUAAAAAAAAGAGGUGUAAGAUAGUGUAAUUAUUUUUUAGUCCUAGUCACUAGGCUAAAACUUUAACGUAGCACAAAUUUUAAUUAAAAUGAUAAUUUAACUGAGACCUGAGUAAAAGAUUAAAAAUCUAAUUGCAUCAAUUAGAAUACUAGGGAUUUAAUUAAAAUUUAAGCAAAGAAAUUAAAGAUUUAAUUGUAAUAAUUAGAAGGUCAGGAACUCAAUUAAAGCUUAGUUAAGUGGUUAGGAAACUUAAACGUCUCCAGCACUUUAGCUUGUACCUCUCUUAAAAAACUAUUUGUAUAUUUUACAAAAGCUAACAAAAUUGUUUAUUAUUAUUUUGAUUUAUACAAUAAUUUAUUUGAUUUAUAUAAUUUCUCUCCCUCAAAUAUUUUUCAUAAAAUUUUACACUCAAAUAUGAAUCAUUUC